rnacentral:tRNA from 1 species
GGGGUUGUGGCUCAGCGGAAGAGCCCUUGCCUAGCACGCAUGAGGCCCUGGGUUCAAUCCUCAGCACCA